AUUCCGGUUGAUCCUGCCGGAGGACAUUUGCUAUUGGGAUUUCGAUUUAGCCAUGCUAGUCGAACGAGUCACACUCGUGGCACAUAGCUCAGUAACACGUGGCCAAGCUACCCUUCAGUCGGCAAUACCCUCGGGAAACUGAGGCUAAUAGCCGAUACGAAACAGACGCUGGAAUGCACUGUAUUCCAAAGACAUCGCUGAAGGAUGCGGCUGCGGCCGAUUAGGUAGACGGUGGGGUAACGGCCCACCGUGCCAGUAAUCGGUACGGGUGAUGAGAGUCAGAGCCCGGAGACGGAAUCUGAGACAAGAUUCCGGGCCCUACGGGGCGCAGCAGGCGCGAAACCUUUACACUGCACGAAAGUGCGAUAGGGGAAUCCCAAGUGCGAGGGCAUAUUAGCCCUCGCUUUUGUUGACUCUAAGGCGGUCAACGAAUAAGAGCUGGGCAAGACCGGUGCCAGCCGCCGCGGUAAUACCGGCAGCUCAAGUGAUGUCCCUUAUUAUUGGGCCUAAAGCGUCCGUAGCU
rnacentral:rRNA from 1 species